rnacentral:rRNA from 1 species
AGUGGGGAAUAUUGGACAAUGGGCGCAAGCCUGAUCCAGCCAUGCCGCGUGAGUGAUGAAGGCCUUAGGGUUGUAAAGCUCUUUUGCCAGGGAAGAUAAUGACUGUACCUGGAGAAUAAGCCCCGGCUAACUUCGUGCCAGCAGCCGCGGUAAUACGAAGGGGGCUAGCGUUGUUCGGAAUCACUGGGCGUAAAGCGCACGUAGGCGGAUUCUUAAGUCAGGGGUGAAAUCCCGAGGCUCAACCUCGGAACUGCCUUUGAUACUGGGAAUCUUGAGUGUGGUAGAGGUUGGUGGAACAGCAAGUGUAGAGGUGAAAUUCGUAGAUAUUUGCUAGAACACCAGUGGCGAAGGCGGCCAACUGGACCAUAACUGACGCUGAGGUGCGAAAGCGUGGGGAGCAAA